GAUGAACGCUGGCGGCGUGCCUAAUACAUGCAAGUCGAGCGAAUGGAUUAAGAGCUUGCUCUUAUGAAGUUAGCGGCGGACGGGUGAGUAACACGUGGGUAACCUGCCCAUAAGACUGGGAUAACUCCGGGAAACCGGGGCUAAUACCGGAUAACAUUUUGAACCGCAUGGUUCGAAAUUGAAAGGCGACUUCGGCUGUCACCUAUGGAUGGACCCGCGUCGCAUUAGCUAGUUGGUGAGGUAACGGCUCACCAAGGCAACGAUGCGUAGCCGACCUGAGAGGGUGAUCGGCCACACUGGGACUGAGACACGGCCCAGACUCCUACGGGAGGCAGCAGUAGGGAAUCUUCCGCAAUGGACGAAAGUCUGACGGAGCAACGCCGCGUGAGUGAUGAAGGCUUUCGGGUCGUAAAACUCUGUUGUUAGGGAAGAACAAGUGCUAGUUGAAUAAGCUGGCACCUUGACGGUACCUAACCAGAAAGCCACGGCUAACUACGUGCCAGCCGCCGCGGUAA
rnacentral:rRNA from 1 species